AGGCAGCAGCAGGGAAUAUUGCACAAUGGGCGAAAGCCUGAUGCAGCGACACCGCGUGCGGGAUGAAGGCCUUCGGGUUGUAAACCGCUUUCAGGAGGGACGAAAAUGACGGUACCUCCAGAAGAAGGCCCGGCCAACUACGUGCCAGCAGCCGCGGUAAUACGUAGGGGCCAAACGUUGUCCGGAUUUAUUGGGCGUAAAGGGCUCGUAGGCGGUUCAAAAAGUCGGUCGUGAAAGCCCGGGGCUCAACCCCGGGACGCCGGUCGAAACUGUUGUGACUAGGGUCCGGUAGAGGUGAGUGGAAUUCUCGGUGUAGCGGUGGAAUGCGCAGAUAUCGAGAGGAACACCGGUAGCGAAGGCGGCUCACUGGGCCGGUACCGACGCUGAGGAGCGAAAGCAUGAGGAGCAAACAGGAUUAGAUACCCUGGUAGUCCAUGCCGUAAACGAUGAACACUAGGUGUGGCGGACUUAUUGACGUCUGCCGUGCCGAAGCUAACGCAUUAAGUGUUCCGCCUGGGGAGUACGGCCGCAAGGCUAAAACUCAAAUGAAUUGACGG
rnacentral:rRNA from 1 species